AUUGAACGCUGGCGGCAGGCCUAACACAUGCAAGUCGAACGAGUGGCGGACGGGUGAGUAAUGUCUGGGAAACUGUCUGAUGGAGGGGGAUAACUACUGGAAACGGUAGCUAAUACCGCAUACCAUCGGAUGUGCCCAGAUGGGCUUAGCUAGUAGGUGGGGUAAAGGCUCCCCUAGGCGAAGAUCCCUAGCUGGUCUGAUGGGAUGCACAGCCACACUGGAACUGAGACACGGUCCAGACUCCUACGGGAGGCAGCAGUGGGGAAUAUUGCACAAUGGGCGCAAGCCUGAUGCAGCCAGGCCGCGUGUAUGAAGAAGGCCUUCGGGUUGUAAAGUACUUUCAGCGGGGAGGCGUUACCCGCAGAAGAAGCACCGGCUAACUCCGGGCCAGCAGCCGCGGUAAUUC
rnacentral:rRNA from 1 species